rnacentral:rRNA from 1 species
UACGUAGGGGGCAAGCGUUGUCCGGAAUGACUGGGCGUAAAGCGCGCGCAGGCGGUCUUUUAAGUCUGAGGUGAAAGGCUGGGGCUCAACCCUGGCAUCGCCUUGGAAACGGGAAGACUUGAGGACUGGAGAGGCAAGGGGAAUUCCACGUGUAGCGGUGAAAUGCGUAGAGAUGUGGAGGAAUACCAGUGGCGAAGGCGCCUUGCUGGACAGUGCCUGACGCUGAGGCGCGAAGGCGUGGGGAGCAAACAGGAUUAGAUACCCUGGUAGUCCACGCGGUAAACGAUGAGUGCUAGGUGUCGGAGGGUACCACCUCCGGUGCCGAAGGAACCCAAUAAGCACUCCGCCUGGGGAGUACGGUCGCAAGACUGAAACUCAAAGGAAUUGACGGGGGCCCGCACAAGCAGUGGAGCAUGUGGUUUAAUUCGAAGCAACGCGAAGAACCUUACCAGGACUUGACAUCCCCCUGACGGGAGUAGAGAUAUUCCGUCCCUUCGGGGCAGGGGAGACAGGUGGUGCAUGGUUGUCGUCAGCUCGUGUCGUGAGAUGUUGGGUUAAGUCCCGCAACGAGCGCAACCCUUGAUCAGUGUUACCAGCACGUAAAGGUGGGGACUCACUGAUGACUGCCGGUGACAAACCGGAGGAAGGCGGGGAUGACGUCAAAUCAUCAUGCCCCUUAUGUCCUGGGCCACACACGUGCUACAAUGGGCGGUACAACGGGAAGCAAGAGAGCGAUCUGGAGCGAAACCCUAAAAGCCGUUCGUAGUUCGGAUUGCAGGCUGCAACCCGCCUGCAUGAAGCCGGAAUUGCUAGUAAUCGCGGAUCAGCAUGCCACGGUGAAUCCGUUCCCGGGCCU